ACAGGGCCAGGCAAUGGGGACAAAGUUCUACCCCAUUGUGUGCUUCAGAGAGCAGGCUCAUCAUUGAGAGGCCAGUCUGUGAUGUCUGAUGGACUGCAUCCAGUCUAGAGCUAGAUGUGUCCUAAGACAGUUUCUGUGACUCUCUCAUCUGUGACACAGGAUAAUGCUGUGCUUCCAGCCCUGUCACCUGAGUCACUGGAGCUUGGGUAGGAUGAGGGGAGGCAGCCCCUUGUAGGAGCUUUGGUCUUGCUCUGCUGUUGUUGUCUGUGACUGCUCUGCUUUACCUGACAAUUUACAGCCAUGGUAAGAACUCAGGGACUCUUGGCUGCCUGUACUGGAGGCCCUUCAGCAUUCCUGGCAACUGGCAGCUUUAUUCACAUGCAUAUCUCUGCCUGGGAGGCUCCUAUCCCCUUCCACAAGUAAAUGCCUGCAAGCCUGCAGCAGUUGCCUAUGAGUGGCACACAAGCAGUCCUUCAGCUUUCCCUCCUCUUCACUGACCCACCGACUGAAGAUGCCAGUCCAGAGUACAGCUGAUGUCAGUUGCCGAAUGUAUUGGUUCUCAGCCCUCAGCCGGAGGACCAGGACCCAUCUAUCACGUGACUUGAAAGCUGGGCACAUGGCAGGGCUUCAUGCAGGAUGCAUAGCUAUUAUAUCACCACCAUCUAUGGCUCUCCAGUGCCAGCUAUGCAGAGGAGUCAUGGCUCUGGGGUUUUCUGACAGUUUCUAGACUCUAAACCUGCUUGGACAAGGAGCAUCGUGUAGCCCAUUGAGCUUCAAGCUCCUGGACUAUAAAGCAGGGGUGUUGCAGCUUCUCAGGAUCAGGGUUGGGUGGAAAUCCAGCAGCAGUGGAGAACCGAGCGAAUGCAUCACUAGAAGUUGGCUUGUGCUGAAGAGAGACUGGGAGGUCACAGGUCCCAACUGUCUCUUCAUAGUUGGAUCAUUCUCUACAGUGUGACCAAGCAGACAUGAAGAGACCACCUGUCCCAUCUGCAGAGCCCUCGCAUGCUCCCAGAUGAAUCCGGAGAAAGCACAGGCAGAGGGCAGCAGGUAGCCACACUGCCUAAGUGAGGCCUCCCUGUACCCAAAGCCUGGGGGUUGUGACUUGAACAAAAGCUGAGCUUUCUCCUGGCGGAGUAACUAGAAUUCUGUAAGCAGAAGGAAGGAUGAGGAGAGGAUGCUGUCCUCCCACGGGCGAGCUUCAAGAGCCCCCGCCGAUGGGGAGUGAUAAGGAGCUUAGCUCAGACACUGCUGUUUGAUCAAGUUGCCAUCUGUGGGAUUUGCCGACCAUGAGUGGGGCUGGGGAUAUCUCCCUGCUACAGCCUGGCUAGGGCUGUGCAGACACAUUUUAUCUGAUCCUGGGGGAAAUCACUUUCUAAGUAAGCCAGCCAUGAUGGCUUCAAAAGACGGCCACUUCCCCACAGUGGGAAGGUCAGUGUGCUCCCUACCCCCCUGAAAUAGGUGAUUGUGAGCGGCAGGCUGCAUGUUAAACACCUCUUUCCAGGUCUUGGGGAGUGCCCCCAGAACUGCAUGGAGAGUUGGAUACUGCAUGCAAAGGCAAGCUCUUCCUGGAGAUGAGAAGUACCUCAGACAGAGCCUGAAUGGUUCCCUUGCCUUAAUGCUCAAUACCUUGAUGCCCUGAAAAUGUCAGCUGCUUUGUCAUGGUGGCAACAACAUUCCAUCUUCUGUGCUGGAUGCCAUUGUAUCAGAGACUCAUAUCUGGGACUUACUCUUCACUCAACAAAUAUUGAGUCUCCAGCAUUAGCUGUCCCUGGAGGGAUGAGAUUCACCAGGACCUUGCUGGCAUAACACACCUCUUAAGACUUCCAAUAGUCACCUCAGCUGUAGACUUUGAUGGAAGAUAAUGGGGUCAACAGAGCUGAGGGCUAGGUUCCUCAAUAUGGGAUCCAAAAUGACAGCCAUGAGGAAGGAAGCCCCUCAGCCCUUGGUCUAUGCAGUGAGGGGUGUCUGGUUUUCCUCUCUGGGUGCCUCCCCCUCAACAGCUCUACCUGCUGCCAGCUGCUGCCUGCUGAUCCAAGAAGUCUUCAAAUGGUAGCUAGGUAGCUUCCUGUGCCACUGGCUGGCUACCAUAUUCAGUUUAAGUGAUUAAUGUUUCUCAUCAGGUAGACAGGUGGAUGGACAGAUAAACAUUAACCUGUCUUAAGUUAUCAUGCUUAUGUGGCUUCUCUUGAGAUGUAAACAAAUGUCCAUUCUUCCCAGGUAGGAUGCUAAUGACAGAUCAAAGAAACAGUUCAGCCAUUUCUAGCUUGGUGAACAAUGGGUUUACUGGGGCUGUUUAUAGGAGUAUGGGUGAGGGACUACUUACAGGAGCAUGGGCAACUUAAGGAUGUCCUGGGUACCAACUCAUGAGUGCUGCAUCCCUGGCUCCCCUGAGUAACUUGUAGGUGUCUUGGAAGAUUGCAGAAUCCUGCUCCUACUUAUUUCUGCUCAAAUAACCUUGGGUGAAGAGCCUUCUAUUUUUUUUUUUUUAUCUUCCUGGGUGGUAAGAGCCUCUCUCCAGGAGGGAGUGAUUCAAUUUUGAGGAAGUGGCCUCACAACCUGCCUUGUGCCAGGUGCAACCUGCAUCACUGCCCCCAUUGGGAAUUAGUGAGAACAAGCCAGACUCUCCAAUCCCUCUGCUCAAGCGACCUUGACAAUGACCCAAACUCUGUGUGCUCACCAUGAUGGUUUCUGGUCCGCCUCCAGGUUUGUGCACAGAGGGAUCAUGGGGAAUUGUGACUGUCCUCAUAAUCUUACGUCAUCAAGCUGACAUGGUCCACCCACAUGAUAGGGAGUUGCAAUGUACCCUGAUGCUGUUAGGGGCAGUCUCCUUCUUCAGAGCUGGAAUCUUUCCACCACCCUAACGGCCAACUGGAACAGCUGUGCCUACCCAAGCUACAGUCAGUUUCCAGAGUAUCAAUAUGGCAGCCAGUCAGACAUCUGCUCCAACGUGGCACAUGGCUUUGGGUGAUAGCAUUUUGUUCUCCAGAGGAGACUGAGGCCAUGUUUCUGUCUUUGUUGCUAUAUGUCAGUGUUGGAGCAGGGUCUCAUGUCUUGCAUCAGGCCUAGAGGCAGUCCAUCUGUCAGCUGUGCACUCUUCCCAGCAUGCAUUGAGGCCGAGUGUAGUGAGUGGCAUCCUGAUAACAGCCAUAGCCCUUGUAAUCUUGUGCCCUUGGGUUUCUGAACAGGAUGCGGGCUCCUAAUGUUUGCUUUCUCUCAUAGGCUUGCCUUGGGUAUAGGAUACAGGCAGUUUUCACUCCGGUGAGAACUAAACAUCUAAAUUACAUGUAAAUAAAGUGAGGAGGGACCCUGUGACACCACAGGUAUGUAUGGUGUCUGAUUAUGGCCAGGGAAACAGCUAGUUGCUGAAUGGGAAGUGGACAAGCGAAUGAGCCAUACUAAGGAUUUGGACUAAUUCAAUAUGGCAGUGGGGGAGGGGAAGACUGUGUCUUAGAUGUCUGUGGUGGUAGAGCAGUUCAGUCAUGCCGUUCAAUAACUGCAUCUAGCAUCAAUUGCUUUCUUGAGAUGUGCCAAAUACCAUUCCAUGCUUUUCACAUGAACUGAGCCAUCCAAUCUUACAAGGACUGUAACAGGUUUAUCAUUUACCAUUUCACACAUUAGAAAUGACACUGGCGAGACCAGGGUCACGUGGACAGAGUUGAGAUCAACUCACACAUCUCAUCCAAGUCAGCUGGAAGCCAGACUCUGGGCAGAGCAGCUUCAGAGCUGUACGUGGCCUCUAUUCCUAGAGCAAGAGAGUGGGAAUUGACAGACAGGAAACCUCUGUGAGGUAGCCCUGGUGAUGGAGGGCUUGGGUGAAAGGGACAAGUAGUGGGAAGAUAAUGGUGAAUGGAUAUCCAGAGAAAGGUGGAGGAGACCUGGUGGCUUGAGAGGAAGGAUAUUCAAGGGGCAUGGAGAGAAGCAGGAAUGCUUAGAGGAAAGACUAGGGUGGGCACAGGUGUCUGUAGCUAGAGUUUCCCUGCCUGGCCCACAGUCAGAACAAAUCUCUCUCACCUGCCAGUCCCACAGCCACUCAGACCCGACCAAGUAAACACAGAGACUUAUAUUGGUUACAAACUGUAUGGCCGUGGCAGGCUUCUUGCUAACUGUUCUUACAGCUUAAAUUAAUCCAUUUCCAUUAAUCUAUACCUUGCCACAUGGCUCGUGGCUUACCGGCAUCUUUACAUGCUGUUUCUCAUCAUGGUGGCUGGCAGUGUCUCUCUGACUCAGCCUUCCACUUCCCAGCUUUAUUCUCCUCCUUGUCCCGCCUACACUUCCUGCCUAGCCAAUGGCCAAUCAGUGUUUUAUUUAUUAACUAAUUAGCAACACAUUUGCCAUACAGAACAUUCCACAGCACUUCCCCCUUUUUUUUUCAAAAAGGAAGGUUUUAACCUUAACAAAGUAAAAUUACAUAUAAUUUGGGAAUUUGGGCGUAGCUUCUCUUACUACUUCCUGCUGGAGGGGGACGCUGUAUCUUAUGGGGAAACAAAGAAAAUUUUAGGAUUAUGGAAUAGUCCAUGAGGCUGUAUCGUCUGAACUAGUUGCCUUGAAACCAUUCUGGAUGUUGGAUCAUCUGGGCCAUGGUGUCAUAGGAGACCUUUCAGGGGGUCUUGGCUGGUCAAACCUGAUGUAUCUUAAUCUGGAACAAAUCCAUAGCCUUUGGCUUUCUGUGGGAACAAAAGCAGAGUCUCCUUUCCAAAGUAACAUAUCCUUAUAUCCAAAUUUUGAAGUCAAGGUACCUUUAAAAUAUACAUAUUGGCAUAACUCAACAGCUUUUACAAUCAAAUAUUUUUCUGCAGUUAAAAGUCCCAAAGACAACACAAUGCAGAUUCUCUGUGUAAUAUCCA